UCCCUCUCCUCUGGAAAUCACACAGAUCCAGUGUGUGCUUGGAUUUUCAAGGGAGAGACCGUCCUAAUGCAUGGCAACCUGCCUCAAAGUGGCUUCUCUGCUGUUCCUAGGAGCGUAACAGCU